CUUAACCUUUAGCGUCUCUGCUUUGCUUCCCUUCAAAGCCUCCUGCUUUGAUUUCCCGUUCACAGUUGUCAUUCUGGCAGCCCCUGGAAGAAAGGAGAAGCAUACGAGGGUUAAAGAACAGCUGCGGGAACAUAAUUAAUGCUUUGCAACAUUUCUGAAGGCCUUUAGCACCUUGCCGUGACCCAGCCUGUAACAUCUGUGCGUUGGCAGCAGCCAAGCUGUAAAACUUCCCCCCUCCAAGUCCUGCACAAAGCAACUGUCGCCUGCCCGAGGCGUGCAAUCAGGGCAAAAAACUUAACAAAUCAGUGGAGGAGGCAGGCUGCCGCGCAGAUGGCAGGUCCUUCGGCGCUGGGAUUGGCAGUGGGAAGGAGCUUCCAGCUGCUGGUCCUCGUAGUUGUCCAAGGGGGAGGUGGGAAAGCUCUGCUUUUGUAGGGAUUUGGUGGUAGAAAUGGGACAUGUUGCUCCAAAUCUGGGAGCAACAGCAGCCCUCCCGCUUGCUUUUACCCGCUGAAGGGCUCUGGGCAGAAGGCAGUGCCCGAGCCCUGCCCGGAGCUGUCGGGUGGCUGCAAGCUGUCACGGACCCCGAGGGAUGCUGUGAGCAUCCCGUCUGGAUCGCGAUCUACCAAGGUCUGUCUUUCACGGUACCUUUCCUGUUACAUGGCUAAAAGGCACCUUCAGGGCUUGUCACCCUCCUUUUUACGGGAGCCACAACUCAGUAUAAAGAAGACACAGAAGUGGCUCCGGUUCUCGAGAGCUCCAGCUGGAGUUUGCCUUUCAGUCCCAGCACACAAGUCACAGCUGGCGCCACCCUGGUGACCAAAGGGAAGAUGAACAAAAACACUUUCUGUUUUUAAGGAUUAACCUCUCCUGCCAUAUGUCCAUUUUCCUCCUUGUUUCGCUGCGGCCAGCCCUGCUGAGCUCCCAACCUUCAAAGCCCAUCAAAUGCAGCUGGAGGGGAGCGAGCCUGCCAAGGGGAGGUGUUCGUCCUUUGCUCGUUGUGGAUUUCUGAGAGGCCUGUGACUGCACUGAAUGCCAAGCAGCCCUGACCUUCACCUGACUGGGGCUCCCAGCUGCUGCUGUGUUGUUACAGCAUCUCUGCCUGAUACGGAUUCAGCUUGGCUCCUCGGACCUGGGUAUUUUAUCUGACAAAUGGGCCUCAUUUCUGAUUCUAGCCUCCGUUUGAUGGGCCAGACUGUCUGCUACCUGGGAGAGGUUCAUAGAUCUGCAAGGCCGGAAGGAAGCAUUACAUUCCUCUCCUUUGCCUCCUAUUAAGAAUGUGCCAGAGACACUAAUCCAGCAUUUGAAUUUCAGCCAGGUAGCUGGAAGGGCUGUGGCUCAGCACCCUGCUCUGAUGGACUAUCCAGCACUGCUGCUCUUCACGCCUUCCUCUGCUGCUCUCGCCUUGGGCAGGAGGGAGGUGUCACGGGAGAGAGGAGCUUUCUUGAAAGAAAUCUCUUUCUUCACAAGUCAGAUGAGGAUGGCUUUCUGCGUGCCGAUGAAAUUUCUCCCCUUCAGAAGAAAAUGUGGUUGGUUUUGCAGUCUGCUCCCUCCUGGUAAUGAAAGCGAGGGGUUACUUCGGUGACAGCAGCAGGGGAAUUAGGGCUUACGCUCUGAGUGACAGCGUUUCGGUACAUCGCAGACACCUUUGUGUAAGCAAUGCAUCAGCCACAUGUCCACAUAGGCUAGCUGCCCCCCACAAGCUGUACGGCUUUCCUCCACCCCGGGCACCUUUGGGGCCGAUCUGUGGUUUUGCAGAGAGGUGUGUGUGACUCCAUGCCUGCUGCCACGCACUUACCCUCCUCUGUGGAGAAGAUUACUGGCUCGUUGGGAUGCAGCUUGGCUCUGCUUUCAUUUCUGGUGCUGUAUUAUUUUUCCUUUGGUUGGCAUUUGCAGGUAGGCAUUUUUAUUUUUUUAUUUUUUUUUCUGAUGGUAGUACGUUAGGGUCAUAAUUUAUGACCAGCUCCUCUUGCUGGAUGCUGUGCAGUCACUUCCUUGUCUCACCCUACAGACAGUAUAUUUAAGAGGACUGGAGGAAGCUACGCAGCAUUAUUUUAGCCUGGGAGUUGCAGCUGCAGUAGAAAUUGCCUUGCACUGAUGUUCAGUCCAGUCUCAGGCGUGUCCAAACCAUGCUGGUUGGAAAAUAGCAGGUUGCUGCAGGCUGCAUGAUGGUGAGAAGAGAGCAUAACCAUGGAGGAAGGGAAGCUGAAGGUUGGCCUGGAGCAAGGGGAAAACCUUUAGGCCCUGCAGCCAUGCCAGAAAUAAAUGGGAGAGGAGGGCCAGGAGUGUCGCCACCACUGGAUAAAUCACCUAGGACCCUGAGAGCAGUUUAUCCAGAAGCAAUCUCCUCCAGAAGCAAGCACGAGCCCAAGGAGUGCCAGAGCUCCCCAGUCAUCCCAGCAAGAAAGGGUCUGGAAUGGGGAAAGAGAAGGGAUGCAGGAGGGAACAGGGCAGUGGAUUAAUAAGUUAUGCACAGCAGAUUGCCACGGCUCCUUUUCUUGGUCUUAUCCCCCUCAACUCCAACACAGUGAUUUUAAAAAGAAAACGAGUGCCAAGAUUAUAUGCGGAACAUACACAAACCCCCGAGCGUUCUGCGAGGAAACUGCUCUUUUCUCCCAGGAAUAUUCUUUCUCCCUGUGCAAACGCAUAUGUUCUGGGCAAAUUCCAUUACAGAUAUUUUGUGGUGAAGGUCCUGAAAUAUCACCGUCUGAAGGAGAGCCUAUUUCAUAUUUGCACCCGAAUUUCUUCUCAUAUGGCUAAAACAACGCCACGUUUCCAGCCAAUUCUCCCGAAGCAAGGAAGCAUUACAUUCCUCUCCUUUGCCUCCUAUUAGCAGGGUUUCCAGAGGCUCUGCAGCUCCCACUGACGUGAGCAGGGCAGAGCAACUCUGAAAAUUAGAUGUGAGAGCUCUCCAAAGAGCGCAGCCCUCUGUUUGCUUUGCUGCUCUUCCAGGGCACAGUGCGAGGCCCCAGACACGAGACCCAGCGUGUUUGCUAUGUGCGGUGAUGCUUUAGGGCUUCCUGUCUGUUUUAUAGCCCUCUGCGGUGGGAUUCUCAAACCAGCAGUUCACUGGUUGAUGGGAUGAUGGGGACCUGACCUGGGCACUCGUGCUUUUGGGUGGUGGUCGUCCCCUUGGAUUGCUAGGCAUAAAUCUCCCCGAGGUUACAGGCGGAGAUGAAUACAUCAGCGAGGCCCCGGCCAUGGAGUCAGAGCAAGCAUCAGGGGAAUUGCUUGCAUGCUUGCUUGAGGUCCCAGUGCUGUGGCAGGGUGCAAAGGACCAGUUAAUCAAGCUGGAGGACUGAGGUGCCCCCCGGCUGUUCUGCAGUUGUCACCUGGCAGUCAGACAAGCGCUGCUCCGACAGCCCCACGUGGAUGCACACGGAUGGGGUUGUUGGCGGUGGAUUAAACAGCAGAGCCUUGUUCUCUGCUCCAUGCCCCUACAAACUGGGACCGAGUCCUCAAAAUCACCGUUUACCUACGUGUGGCAGGAGGGAAAACCAGGGUUGUCGAAUAAAAUGGAACAGACCAGUCAAGUAAUUUAAUUCUUAAAUCUUGUCUCCCUCAGGCUAAUCUCCAAGCCGCUCUUUGCUCAGGUCAACUGCUUUUAAUUAGCAAGCUUCAUUGAUCAGGGCAGGAGUGGGAGCUGGUGGGUUGCUGUCCAGACCUUUUUAAUUUAGAGGCUUUUCUCUCUUGCUGGAGGGAUGGUGAUACCCAGAGAGGGACCUGGCAGGAAGACCCCGGAAUUGUUUGAAGGAGGCUGACCUGCUGCUGCCUUUACCGCAUCUCUGCUGGCAGUGUCAGGUGUUGGCUAAUUGUCAGGUGGGGAAAGGGGAAUAAAAAAAAAGAUAAUCCUGAAAGCAGGCUGUGGUGACACUGGGAGUUACUACGUGCCUGUGUGUGUUAUUGCUGUAAGGCUGCUGCACAACCCAGGGAAAGGGGAGACCCCCAGCUCCAGAAGCUGCUCUUCUCCUCUCUGCCCAGCAGCACGGGGGGACCUUUGGGACAGGGGGUGGAUGAUGCCUGUUCCCUGCCUUGUGGAGGGGCUGCUGCAGCCUGGCAGGCUCCUACCAUGGCUUGUCAGCCUCUUGCAGUGGCUCUCUCCGAGCUGGUACCACGGAGGAUGGUGCUCACCAUGCGAACGUGCCUUUGGGCAAGGGAGGUGGGAGUGCUCGUUGGCUUCUCUGGCUGCUGCUUCCUUAGGAAACAAAGUUAAAACAGUUCGACAGCUAAAAAAAGGCACCUCCCGAAGGAAGACACUUCAUUACUCCUUCUUCCUAUAAAUGGAAACAGCUAUAAACCUGAUAGCAGUCCUUUUUCACCAGAGGUGGCUGGACCCCAGGCUGGAUGUGGGACACGAACCUCCAGAAGAGGUGGAACACGAGGACGUGGGUGCACCAGCACCUCCCUUCUCUGCUGGGUUCGCUCCUGGUUCGUCUGCCCCACAGCCCGGGAAACAUCCUACAUUUGAGAUGAGCCUCCAGGGGGUUGUGUGAUGACUGUAGGUGGGAAUCUCAGGGCCGUGCUGCGUGGUUGCUGGGUCAUUGCUUGCUCUGCCUCUCCUGCAGUUCGCAGUUAAAGAAAAUCCAUCUGAGUAACACGUUUCCUGGUUUAUGUAUUUGAUCAGCUAAGCUAUGAAAAUUCUGAAAUGAAGUUCUCUCAGGUAAAUCAAACAGAAAGGAAGUGGCUUUGUAUCAAACUAUUGAAUUAAUAGAAUUAUCGUAUUGAUUAAAUCAUCAAAUUAGCCUGCAGCUCCUCUAUCUGCUUUACGUUGUCGUUUGGGAAAGCAGCCGCCUGCCUGGUUGAGCUCGCAGUCCCUGAAGCACCGAUCUCGAUGCCAGCUGCUCCCUUUGUAUUCCAGGCAGAGAGCUGGGCCUUGCAAAGGCUGCAGCCAUCUCUGGCUGAAUCUCGCACGGAGAGCAGGGCUCCGGUGCCCAUUACAGCUGUCAGCCAAAAUUAUACCCAUUUGGGUAAGAGGUGAUCUCUCACACAUCCCCUCCAACGUGAAUCACUGAGCCUGAGCUGGCAUUACGCAGCCUGAUACACUCCAAAUUACGGAAGGAAAACGUCGGUGAGUCAUGGCUUCUUGGGGUUAAGCGUGCCCCAGGAGCACGCUCGCCUCUCUCGCGGGCAAAGGGCUGCAGCACCAGCUGCCUUCAGAGCUGGGAGGUGCUCCUGAAAUGUCUUCUGCAAUACAUCAGGUGGCUCUUUCUUUGUGACAGGCUUCCCCUUCUUGCAUCUUGAGAGGGAGGCGUGUGAGGGAAUAGGUGUCAUUAAUAAAUGCUAACAUGGGAGGACUUGGGGAAACCUCAGUGGACUGAGAUUUAUGUGGAGCGGCCGAGGCAUGGCUCUGCUGCAAGUAAUUGCAACCAACGGCUUCAGUUGCUCAGCUGCUUCACGUCUCGGACUUGUUAGCUGGCCUGUCAGCUGUGAGACCCUGCCGGCUGGGUGCUUUUUGGUUGCUGGCCAAAACAGGGAGAGGAACCAGCUACGCGGGAAAGGUGGCAGAGCCUAAGGUGGAGCCAGGCUGCUGCAAUGGCAGCGAGAGCGGAGGCACUGGUUUGUAAAAGGGGUCAAACUGUAAUGUCUGAUUUUCAGUGAGUCCAUCAGAAGCACGGAUGUUGCCCUGUGAUCCAUCAUCUCUCCCCAAGUGACCAUCCAUGAGUGUUCAUCCUCCCCAUGAUCGUCUCAAUAUCUGCUCUCACUGCUCUGCAGCUUUGGGCUGACAACAGUGAAGACUGACUCAUCCCCAGCACUGCUAUUUGAGUGUGAGUUUAGCCUCCCAUUGUACUGUAAAAAGAGAAAAGAAAAAAAAAAAAAACGGACCAGUUCAUGAAGAGGGCUGUAUUGUUCCUUCCAGCCUUGGCUUGCUGUCGGUGGCUCGGAUGCUAACAGGAUCACCAGCCUCUCCGAAAACUCCCUCCCGGUGUGCCCCAGUGGGGGAGAAGCAAUAAAACAAGAGGCAUGAUCCGGGCUUGGCUUUCUGCUGUGCUCAAACUUUUCUAUGGUCCCUCCUUCUUCAGGAAACAGUCGGUCUGCAGGUGAGGCGUGAAAUGCUUCCACUGAACAAAUUGAAAGAGACUGCCUCAGCAGGGGAGGGAUUUGAAUAACCUUGUGCUUAUAUCACUUUUUGGGGGGAGGUUUUCAGACUUCUUUGGAUGCAGAUUUCCCAGGGGUGAUGCUUUUCGCCCUGCAUGUAAUUUUUUUUUUUAUUUGUGUGUGUGUGUGUGUGUGUGUGUGUUGGCAAGCUGCCCUUCAUGCUGCGUGUUGCUUGAGAUGAAAAGCCGGAGCGGAGCACGUUCCUAACACUUAGGAAAGCAGCUGUGUCAUCAGAUUCACCUUGAAGUGCUGGCAAACAGCUCGCAGGGGCCAGCACCCUCGUUACCCUGCCUUGUCAGCGCCGCAAUCUGCAUAGGUGGGGGAGGCCACGGCCUCCCUUGCCGAUGGAGGAAGCAGCAAGAGGAGGCUGAGAGGGCUGAAGACACAAAGGAAGAAUGGUUUGGCCCCGGCCUCAAAUUUGGGAAGUCCUGAGGCUGAGAUUGCACGCUGUGCUCGUGUCCCCUCUGGGCAGCACCAUUUCUCUGGGUUCCCUCCUGGAGAGCUGUCAAGGCCCUGCUGGUGGCAGCCCCCAGCUGGCGGGACCUUGCUGUUGUCCGCAAGGAUUUGCCUUCCCCUGUUGUUGUCGUGCUGUGCUGGUGCCUCCCUGCGCCCCUCACGGCGGGCAGAUACCUUCAUGUGGAGUGCCUAAUGUCUAGAGACAAGUGGAUGGCGAUGGCUGAAGGGACAGCUGCUUGAAAAUGUGUGCACGUCAGGGACUGUCAGAGCAUCUGUGACCUGUGUAGCUGGCAUUAGGGUCAAGCUUUCUGGCUGUGCGCCAGCAAAGCACUGA